rnacentral:rRNA from 1 species
UACGUAGGUGGCAAGCGUUGUCCGGAUUUACUGGGCGUAAAGAGCGCGCAGGCGGUCGUUCAAGUCGAGUGUGAAAGCCCCCGGCUCAACUGGGGGGGGUCACUCGAUACUGAUCGACUCGAAGGCAGAAGAGGGAAGCGGAAUUCCCGGUGUAGUGGUGAAAUGCGUAGAUAUCGGGAGGAACACCAGUGGCGAAGGCGGCUUUCUGGUCUGCUCUUGACGCUGAGGCGCGAAAGCUAGGGUAGCAAACGGG